rfam:Danio rerio chromosome 4, GRCz11 reference primary assembly.
GGCUCAUUGGUCUAUGGGUGUGAUUCUCGCUUUGGUUGUGAGAGGACCCGGGUUCAAUACCCGGAUGAGCCC